rnacentral:rRNA from 1 species
UACGGGGGGGGCAAGCGUUGUUCGGAAUUACUGGGCGUAAAGCGUGCGCAGGCGGUUCGUCGUGUCCGAUGUGAAAGCCCCGGGCUCAACCUGGGAAUGGCAUUGGAAACUGGCGGGCUUGAGUGUGGCAGAGGGGGGUGGAAUUCCGCGUGUAGCAGUGAAAUGCGUAGAGAUCAUGAGGAAGACCAGAGGCGAAGGCGGGUCUCUGGACAGUUCCUGACACUGAGGCACGAAGGCCAGGGGAGCAAACGGG